rnacentral:rRNA from 1 species
UUUAUCCAGGUUGACCUCGGAUCAGGUAGGGAUACCCGCUGAACUUAAGCAUAUCAAUAA